UCUAUAAAGGCAGAGAUCGGCUCCUUACUAUUAUUAUCUCUAUCAACAACAAGAUAUACUGUACUCACUUCUGAUUUAGCUUACUGCUGUCUAGGAGUCACACUGAGCUAUAGCAUACUCACAGCUAUACGAACAACUAUACAGCUAUAAUAGAAGCAAGCCGAGAAACGCAGCCAUGAAGCUCGAAUCAAGAAAAUCGUCACUGAAAAGAACUGAGAGCCAGAAAGAGACCGUACCAAACAAAGAUCAGAAAGCCAUCAUGGAAUGUGCGCAACAUCUGCGUAAAAUCGGAGACCUGUUCAACCUGAAAUACAUCCUGGCGGAUAUGCGAGCUAAAAUCUCAACGGAUCCGAAAAUCAAGUGAAAUGGAUACAGUAGCUGACUUUGAUAGUAAAGUGGAUCGAAAUUGGAUCAUUAUGCCUUAACGGGAAAUGUGUUGCGGUCGUUGCAAUGUGAAAAGUUUGUUACAAUAACGCAAAGCCAAUAUGGACCUCACACGCCCAUGCCCGGAGCUAGGCUACUCUCGGACCGGAGUAUCUUUCUGGACGCUCCUUCAACAGAGACUGCCUUCUACGUCCCGGGACGCUGGUGGGUAUUUGUUCAUAGUCUAAGAGAUAUAUACCACCGCCCUAUUGGAUUAUUUAGGCCGGGAAAAUGAAAACGGGCCGGGAAGCCGAAACAGAACAUUUGGAGUAAAGAGAAGACAGGAUAGCAAACCAACAUGUAGACUAAAAUAGAGACUAAAAUAGUAUAUAUUUGUUAUCAAACGUUUGAUUCUAAUCGUCAGGGUAUUUUAUGCUGUCUGUUUUAAAUUUGUUUGGUGAUUGAGUUAUGCUUAUCUGUUUGAAAAUAAUUUUAUGCUGUCUGUUUUAAGUUUGUUUGGUGAUUUAAAAUGUACUUAUUUGUUUGAAUAUAAUGUCAAUAAAUGUUUUGAUUUCUUCUAUUGUCA